GCGGGGGUGGCCGAGUCAGGUCAAAGGCGCAGGGCUUAGGACCCUGUGGCGUAGGCCUGCGUGGGUUCAAAUCCCACCCCCCGCA
rnacentral:tRNA from 2 species